GAGUAGGUGCAGAAAAGUGCCGAGCUGGUGGGGCUGGGAAGUUGACACCUUGCAUCUGAUGGGAGCCAGUGCCAGAUGCCCCAGAAGGGAGUGAAGAGUUCCCUGGGACACAGAUUUUAAGGGGCAGUACGGGAGAACACAGAGUGCAAUUUCAAGCAUCAGCUCCAAAAAAGAUGAACCAGAGGCGAAAUGCUUUAGAAAGGAGUCAUCUGCUUCAGUUCAAGUUGUGAUAAUUACACCCCGAAUGGUGACCGCUGUGAGGAAAAGCCAAGACAGGGCUGCUCAGAUGCAUACUCCAAGUUGGCAACGAGGGAUAUAAGAGUAACUGCUCUAAAUGUAAAAUGUUGGGGAGAUGAAAAGGAAAAAAAGCCUUUAUACUGAUCACUUCAUGCAAUUUUUUAAUGAUGUAAAUGAUUAAAGGCCUCCACAGAUGCCCUUAGAUCACUGGUAGGACAGAAUGAUACUUAAAAUGUAACUGUGCUUUACAUUUUUGGGUCAAGAUUUCUAAAAAUUAGGAACCUGAAGGUAGGUGCCUGAGUAUGGAGGGCAUAAAAGCUAACUCUAUGAGGCAUAAGGAGCAGCUGUGCCCAUCUCAGUGCCCACCAGCUUGAAUAAUUGCCAUUUGUGCCUAAAGGAACAGCUAUGUCCUACAUCCAUAGCAGGCUGAGCUACUUGACAGAAGUGCAGCUAAUGCCUCUGGUAUCUCAGACUGUUUGGAGGAGAGGGGUUUGCUCCUAAAUGCCACAACCACCAGCAGUUUUAUGUAAGGUGGUCUUUCCCUACCCACGACUUUUGGCUCUUCAGCAAGAUGAAUGAGUAAAAGCAGAAUAGAUCCUAUAAGGUAGCAUGCUAAAGUAGAAAAAAAAAAAAAUUGUUUAAAUAACAUUUUAAAUCCAUCUACAAUCCUAUCAAGAUUCUAUGCCAUUUCUCUUAGGACAAAUAUGUCUAUUAAUAGGAUGUCUCCAGUACACUUGCUAAAUGAACAGUGUUCUUUUUCUGUGCAGACAGUCCUAGGAAAUUAUUUUCCUGUAGAGAAUAUUGAAUACUGAAGUCUUGAAUACUAGAUUUCCUGGGUAGUACGACUUAUAUGCAGAAAUUCCUCUACAUAUUUUGAAACCAGUGAAACAAGCUUAAUAAUUUAGUAUCUUCCCUGUUGUUCUUUUCACAAGCUGUAGAAACCUUGCCAUCAGUGCUUCCGAGUUUACAUGUUAAAAACAGUAUUUGGCAAACUAGUGCUGUGUCCUCUUCUUCAGUAACAGCCAGGGAUUUUGUCAGCCAUCCCAGUCUUGCAUUCUGGAAACCAUGCAGCUCUGUGGGGGUUGCUUUGGCUCUGUUCAAGCUCUCAGUGUGAGGGAUGCUGGUGCUAUGGCAGUGGUACCUACCCACCUUUGGUCUUGGUGAAUACAAUAAAGAUGGACCCUGCCAAAUGUUUGCACCUCCUCUCGUGUUUACUGAAGGGUGGUCAGUAGUGGAAGGACAAGUCAAACAUCUGCACUCUUCCAGCAAACCAUGUCUUGUUAAGAUUUAAAAAAAAAAAAAAAGAGGCAAA